rnacentral:lncRNA from 1 species
UCAGAGUCUGAUGGAUCUGGGUGACUGGGCAAGUUCUUUAGCUUGUCAAACCUUCAUUUCUCUAAUUUAUAACAUAAGGACAGUACCUUCUUCCUGUCAAGGUUGAGGCAAGCAUUAGUGAGAAACGUCUCAAGGCCUGGUUCACAGAACCCUGGGUGGCAGGUACUAUUGGCACCAUUUUCCAGAUAAAGAAAAUGAAGUUCUAAGCAGUCAAAUGACAUGUCAAGAUCACCCAACUGAGACUACUGCCCUUCAUUGAUUGAUGUCCGGUGCCUGGAAAGCCAUGGUUUUAUGCAGUUUGUGGAUUUUUUAUUUUUUUUCUUUAUUUGAAAUGGGAAGUAAAGGAUGACAGAGGGCACAGAAGCCACCAGCAGAUUCUUUGGAAGGAAGUAACAGGAGUGGAACUUCAUUUUCCCAUGGAUUGUAAAGG